rnacentral:lncRNA from 1 species
CUCAAAGAGCACCCAGCAUAACUGUGGGAGAAUAGUAAGCAUUGGACACAAAAUGGAAAAGCUGACCUUCUGGUACGGAAGAGCAUGAGCAGUGAGUGAGCAGUGCCCAUGCGUUGUGAGGCGGCCUCCAUGGUAUAAGGUUUAGGCAAAUAAUGAUGAACAAAAAUGGUCAGUCUGUGUUCCUGCUGACCCAGCACAGUGGGGACGCUGUGUAGGACAUGACCUUUGGGGGAAAGGACACAAGAACUCAGCGUGGGGGAUCCAGAAAAGAAGUCGCACGUAUUGAAGCCAGUAACGCCAAGCCAGUGAAUUCUCCUUGACGAGAAAGACCCACUUACUCUGCAGAAGAGAUAUAUGACAGCUGACAAUCCCUGGAGGAGAAUCUUUCUACUAAAUUGGUAAGGGAUGCUAAGCAAAUGAUGUGGACUCAGGAAACAACGCAUUUCAUGAUAUACGGUUGCCUCUCAAGGUGAAUUCGAGACCCCUCUUGAAUUACAAAGAGUUGAAAACAUUCAAGUACGGAAUAAACUAUUACUGCGAAUACGCUCAUAUGACACAAGAACAAUCUCUGAGCUUCUUUGAGGAUGUCCAGAUGACUGCUGACUGCACUAAUUGCAUCAAUCGUGUAUCCAUACAGGUUCUUUCUAUAAAAUAGUGGUCGCUAGUUAUGAGGCGUUAAGCCUUCAUGGAUAUAAACAGACUAUUCCACCUAAGUGAUCUGGCAGAAGCUUAGUUUUCUACCACAACAUCCACCGUCCUCCCUCCCUCCCUUCCUAGCUGGUCAGAAAAGCUACUCAGAAUAAAGACUACAUUUCCCAGCCAUCUUUGCAGCUAGGUUUAUCCACCUGACUAAAUUCCACCGUAACUCCAGGUUGAAGAACUUCUACUUAUAGGCAUCUAUUCAACGAAGACGAAUCCUGGAAUGGGGAUGGAAAUGAUGGCUCAUGUCUUAGCAAACUACCAAACUGAUCCGAGAGGACAGGGAAGUCAGUGUGGGCGGCUCUAAGGAGCCUCCCUCUCUACAGCUGCGGCUCAGAGGAUUACGGCGCUUCAUCCACAAGGCAACAUUGCACAAGUAGCUUUUGAACAAAAGUCAUGGAUACUAUUAAUGAUAUGUUCCCACACACAUUUAGUGUCGUCUCAAAAUUCACGCUGUCAACUGUCUCUAGGAAUCAUUUCCAUCUGAGAACAGACCACACAAAGACACAGUGAAACUCAGUUUCUGCAGAAUUUGAUUUCAUUUGAGUUACUGGGGAACAAAGCAAUUAGACAAUGAAUAAUAGCUCAAGACAGGCUGAAGCUGAAGAUUUCUGCAAAAGAAUGAAGAGGAAACGUUUUGAUCCUGAGCAGAUGUUCUCCCUAGAUUGCUUCACCUGAGGUUGAUUGACUUUUGGAAACGAGAUUUGUUCCCAGUGCUUUGUGAGUCUCUUGUUGGAAGGACUGUCUUUAAAUUAAAGCAAUUAGAGUUACUUUAUAAGAUUUACCCAAAUAUAAGAGCUGAAGAGAAUAAUUCAAAUUGAUCAGAAGAAAAUACUCAAUUACUGACAAAUGUCAAUUACAUCAAUAGCCUAGGCUGCUCUUGAACUCCUGGGCUCAAACGAUCCUCC